UUACUGGAAGAGUUAUGAGUUCAAGGUUAAGAGCACACAAAGUUUGCACUGAUGCGGACUCUACUAUGUUUUGGAAACUGCAAUAUAGAUGUAGAUGGGUAAGUCUCUUAAGAUC
ensembl:ncRNA F55C12.17 ncRNA